AACGUAGGGGGCAAGCGUUGUCCGGAUGUAUUGGGCGUAAAGAGCUCGUAGGCGGUUCUCUAAGUCGUGUGUGAAACCUCCAGGCUCAACCUGGAGACGCCACCCGAUACUGGUGUGACUCGAGUCCGGUAGGGGAGCGUGGAAUUCCUGGUGUAGCGGUGAAAUGCGCAGAUAUCAGGAGGAACACCAGCGGCGAAGGCGGCUUCCUGGCCUGUUCUUGACGCUGAGGCGCGAAAGCUAGGGGAGCAAACGGG
rnacentral:rRNA from 1 species